rnacentral:rRNA from 1 species
GAUGAACGCUGACAGAAUGCUUAACACAUGCAAGUCUUUGGCGAAGCUGUGCUUGCACAGCCUAGCCAAGGCGGACGGGUGAGUAACGCGUAAGGAACUUGCCCUGCAGUCAGGGAUAACAGACGGAAACGACUGAUAAGACCUGGUAAAGUCAGGCGGACUCAUGUCCAGCCUGAUGAAAAGAGAUGCUGCAGGAGAGCCUUGCGUCCUAUUAGCUUGUUGGUGGGGUAACGGCCCACCAAGGCGAUGAUAGGUAGCCGGCCUGAGAGGGUGGACGGCCACAAGGGGACGGAGAUACGGCCCUUACUCCUACGGGAGGCAGCAGUGGGGAAUAUUGGACAAUGGGGGCAACCCUGAUCCAGCAAUUCUGUGUGCACGAUGAAGGUUUUCGGAUUGUAAAGUGCUUUCAGCAGGGAAGAAAAAAUGACGGUACCUGCAGAAGAAGCGACGGCUAAAUACGUG